UACAGAGGCCCCAAGCGUUACUGAGAAUCACUGGGUUUAAAGGGUGCGUAGGUGGUCCGUUAAGUUCGUUGUGAAAUCCCUGGGCUCAACCCAGGAAAUGCUUCGAAUACUGGCGGACUUGAGGCUAGUAGAGGUCACUGGAACUGACGGUGGAGCGGUGAAAUGCGUAGGUAUCGUCAGGAACGCCGAUGGUGAAGACAGGUGACUGGGCUAGUUCUGACACUGAGGCACGAAAGCGUGGGGAGCGAACGGG
rnacentral:rRNA from 1 species